AUCUUUGCUCUUAGGGAAAUGACGCAGAUAGUGAGGUGAAACCGAUGCGUGUCAAUUGUUGGUUGAAAACUAUUUCCAACCCCCCUCGUUGGUCUAGGCUACGCUUUGGCCUUCGAGAUUUUUUGGAGAGUCCUCCUAUUGCUCAGGCC
rnacentral:snRNA from 1 species